rnacentral:tRNA from 1 species
AUUUAAAUAGUUUAUUAAAAAUAUUGGUUUGUGGAACCAAAGAUAUGAUUUUUUCAUUUUAGAUA